rnacentral:tRNA from 2 species
GCGAUAGUGGCGGAAUUGGCAGACGCGCACGAUUCAGGGUCGUGUGGGUAACACCGUGGGGGUUCAAGUCCCUCCUAUCGCA